GAUGAACGCUGGCGGCGUGCCUAAUACAUGCAAGUCGAGCGAACGGACGAGAAGCUUGCUUUUCUGAUGUUAGCGGCGGACGGGUGAGUAACACGUGGAUAACCUACCUAUAAGACUGGGAUAACUUCGGGAAACCGGAGCUAAUACCGGAUAAUAUUUUGAACCGCAUGGUUCAAAAGUGAAAGACGGUCUUGCUGUCACUUAUAGAUGGAUCCGCGCUGCAUUAGCUAGUUGGUAAGGUAACGGCUUACCAAGGCAACGAUGCAUAGCCGACCUGAGAGGGUGAUCGGCCACCCUGGAACUGAGACACGGUCCAGACUCCUACGGGAGGCAGCAGUAGGGAAUCUUCCGCAAUGGGCGAAAGCCUGACGGAGCAACGCCGCGUGAGUGAUGAAGGUCUUCGGAUCGUAAAACUCUGUUAUUAGGGAAGAACAUAUGUGUAAGUAACUGCGCACAUCUUGACGGUACCUAAUCAGAAAGCCACGGCUAACUACGUG
rnacentral:rRNA from 1 species